GUAGGUGGCAAGCGUUGUCCGGGAAUUAUUGGGGCGUAAAGCGCGCGCAGGCGGUUUUUUAAGUCUGAUGUGAAAGCCCACGGGCUCAACCGGUGGGAGGGUCAUUGGAAACUGGAGAACUUGAGUGCAGAAGAGGAGAGCGGAAUUCCACGUGUAGCGGUGAAAUGCGUAGAGAUGUGGAGGAACACCAGUGGCGAAGGCGGCUCUCUGGUCUGUAACUGACGCUGAGGCGCGAAAGCGUGGGGAGCAAACAGGAUUAGAUACCCUGGUAGUCCACGCCGUAAACGAUGAGUGCUAAGUGUUAGGGGGUUUCCGCCCUUUAGUGCUGCAGCAAACGCAUUAAGCACUCCGCCUGGGGAGUACGGUCGCAAGACUG
rnacentral:rRNA from 1 species